GUGCUCACUUUGGCAGCACAUAUACUAAAAUUAGAAUGAUACAGAGAAGAUUAGCAUGGCCCCUGCACAAGGAUGACACACAAAUUUGUGAAGUGUUCCAAAAGGCU
rnacentral:snRNA from 1 species